rnacentral:misc_RNA from 1 species
UGCCACCACAGAUGGCGUUGGGUAACUGCAAUUUCACAAAUGAUCAUGUGAAUUUUUUCGAUUGUGGUGAUUGAUUUCCCAUAUUUGGAAUGUAUAGCUCCUAUAUUCUUUUAUUAUUUAUUAUUACUCUUGAACUUUCUGACAAUUGGGUCCUGCACGCUACAAUUAUAAGCUUUUGUCCCCAUCAAACUGGAAAAAAAAAAUCAUGCCUUAGAUUUCCUCCCUCGACUACUCUUUACCAAGCCUCACCAUCAUUGCCUGGAAAUGUCAAAGAUCGUCAUUGCCACAAGAAAUUAGAGACUAAAGUCCGACGGAUAGUCACUGCUGUCGACCUUGGAAAUCAUGUACUCCUCUGCCUUGAAAAGACCGGCAGGAAAGAGGUGGAGGGGACAAUGACCAUGGCUGUCCGAGCCACUUCUCAACCUCGGUCCAUCUCUCGAUCAAUUUUGGUUCAACUACCGUUGUCAUAUGCGCGUCCAUCUUUGCUUCUAGCAUUGUCUGCAUGUGCACCUUGGCAGUGGAUUUGUGUAGCAUGUGGGUUUGUGCUGGUGUGAGCUGUGGGUGUCGUCAAAGGGAGUGUCGGCCUGCAAAGGAAAGUGGCAAGGCUAUGUGGGUUGCCGGGGAAAUGGAAAUGGGUAUGUGAAAAUUGUUUUGCCUUUAACACAGCCUUUCGUAGCAUAAAUUCAAAUGGGUACUCUUCGUUCAAGUCAAAUUAUCUGUUUUUCGAUAGUUCAGUUGGGCAAACAAAGCGCAAAGUGGCUGCUUCUUUGAGCUUCGGUAGUCGGGGAACUUCGAGUGUUAAAAGGAUUUGGAGUGAGUUCGAUAGGGUCAUUAGAUUUCACUGUCAGAGAAUCCCAAUUGGGUUUGCUUCCGUUGGCGUUGAUUCUGGAGAUAGUAACGGUGAUAAUAGCAGUGGUUUGAGAGAUGAUGGAUGUGGUGUUUUGGUAGAAGGGGGCUUACCUUUGAACGGUGCAGAGGCCGAGAGCCCCAAAAAGGUUCUCAUUUUGAUGAGUGACACCGGGGGUGGCCAUCGAGCCUCCGCAGAGGCUAUUAAGGCAGCGUUUAAUGAAGAAUUUGGUGACGACUAUCAGGUGUUCAUUACUGAUUUAUGGUCAGAGCAUACACCUUGGCCAUUUAAUCAAUUGCCCAGGAGCUAUAAUUUUUUGGUGAAACAUGGGCCAUUAUGGAAAAUGACAUAUUAUGGGUCUGCACCUCGUGUAAUACACCAAUCUAAUUUUGCUGCGACUUCUACUUUUAUAGCUCGUGAGGUUGCAAAAGGAUUGAUGAAAUACCAGCCUGAUUUAAUUAUCAGUGUACAUCCACUUAUGCAACAUGUUCCUCUUCGCAUAUUGAGGGCAAAGGGUCUUUUGCAAAAGAUAGCUUUCACUACAGUGGUCACAGAUUUAAGUACUUGCCAUCCUACAUGGUUUCAUAAGCUUGUCACAAGAUGCUAUUGCCCAACAAUGGAUGUAGCAAAGAGGGCAUUGAAAGCUGGGCUUCAGCCUUCCCAAAUUAAGGUUUAUGGCCUUCCAGUGCGGCCUUCAUUUGUUAAGCCUGUGCGACCAAAGCGUGAGUUAAGGAGAGAACUAGGAAUGGAUGAAGAUCUUCCAGCCGUGUUAUUAACGGGAGGAGGGGAGGGGAUGGGUCCCAUUGAAGCAACUGCAAGGGCACUUGCGGAUUCUUUAUAUGAUGAAACUCUCUGUGAGCCAAUAGGUCAGGUCCUGGUGAUAUGCGGCCGCAACAAAAAGUUGGCCAACAGAUUGCUUUCAAUUGAUUGGAAGAUUCCAGUCCAGGUGAAGGGGUUUGUCACUAAAAUGGAGGAAUGUAUGGGUGCUUGUGACUGCAUUAUAACAAAGGCUGGCCCAGGGACAAUUGCAGAAGCAAUGAUACGAGGUCUUCCUAUAAUUUUGAAUGAUUACAUUGCUGGGCAAGAAGUAGGGAACGUGCCUUAUGUGGUGGAAAAUGGAUGUGGGAAAUUUUCAAAGUCACCGAAAGAAAUUGCAAACAUUGUUGGUCAAUGGUUUGGUCCAAAGGCAGAUGAGCUUAAGGCCAUGUCACAAAAUGCGCUGAAGCUUGCAAGACCUGAAGCUGUCUUCAAGAUCGUUCAUGAUCUUGACGAGCUGGUUAGACAGAGAAAUUUAGU